AACGAACGCUGGCGGCAUGCCUAACACAUGCAAGUCGAACGAGACCUUCGGGUCUAGUGGCGCACGGGUGCGUAACACGUGGGAAUCUGCCCUUUGCUUCGGAAUAACAGUUAGAAAUGACUGCUAAUACCGGAUGAUGUCGAAAGACCAAAGAUUUAUCGGCAAAGGAUGAGCCCGCGUAGGAUUAGGUAGUUGGUGGGGUAAAGGCCUACCAAGCCGACGAUCCUUAGCUGGUCUGAGAGGAUGAUCAGCCACACUGGGACUGAGACACGGCCCAGACUCCUACGGGAGGCAGCAGUGGGGAAUAUUGAACAAUGGGCGAAAGCCUGAUCCAGCAAUGCCGCGUGAGUGAUGAAGGCCUUAGGGUUGUAAAGCUCUUUUACCAGGGAUGAUAAUGACAGUACCUGGAGAAUAAGCUCCGGCUAACUCCGUG
rnacentral:rRNA from 1 species